rnacentral:SRP_RNA from 1 species
UCGUGCUAGACGGGGAACUAGCGGUGCCCUGUGACCCGGAACCCGCUCUACCGGGGUCGAAUUCCCGCUGGCGGUCCGGCCGAACCGGUGCAGCCUUUGGCAUAAGGCGAUGAAGGCCAGGUCUGGCGCAACUUUGGCUCACCCAACCCCGUCAGGACCGGAAGGUAGCAGCGGUAAGUGAAUACUAGAGUGUGCCGUCAGGAAACCUGGCUGGAGCUGGCUGCCUUAGGCGGCCGAUUUGGGUUGGAACAACAGCGGGUGCACGA